GACGAACGCUGGCGGCGUGCUUAACACAUGCAAGUCGAACGCUGAAGCUCAGCUUUUGUUGGGUGGAUGAGUGGCGAACGGGUGAGUAACACGUGAGUAACCUGCCCCCUUCUUUGGGAUAACGCCCGGAAACGGGUGCUAAUACUGGAUAUUCACUGGUCUUCGCAUGGGGGGUGGGGGAAAGGGUUUUUCUGGUGGGGGAUGGGCUCGCGGCCUAUCAGCUUGUUGGGGGGGUGAUGGCCUACCAAGGCUUUGACGGGUAGCCGGCCUGAGAGGGUGGCCGGUCACAUUGGGACUGAGAUACGGCCCAGACUCCUACGGGAGGCAGCAGUGGGGAAUAAUGCGCAAUGGGCGCGAGCCUGAUGCAGCGACGCCGCGUGAGGGAUGGAGGCCUUCGGGUUGCGAACCUCUUUCGCUCAUGGUCAAGCCGCAACAAUGGUUGUGGUGAGGGUAGUGGGUAAAGAAGCGCCGGCUAACUACGUG
rnacentral:rRNA from 1 species